CCAUGGUGCUGAUGUGGAUCUUCAGCCUAAGCCAGAAUCUGCUGAUACGCUGCCUGUGUCAUUGUUUCACCGUGCCUGCACAGAGCCUCAGUCAGAGCCAGGAACAACACAUGUACCGCCUCUGCCUAUGGUGUCCUCACCUGCAAGCGCUCGUACUGGACCUGUGAAGACUGGUGGAAGGGUGUUUGUGCUAGACC